rnacentral:tRNA from 1 species
ACCCGGGUGGCUCAGUGGUAGAGCAUCUGCCUUUGGCUCAGGUCAUGAUCCUGGGGUCCUGGGAUCAAGUCCCAGGUCAGGCU